GAUUGAACGUGCUUGCACGGACUUGACGUUGGUUUACCAGCGAGUGGCGGACGGGUGAGUAACACGUAGGUAACCUGCCCCAAAGCGGGGGAUAACAUUUGGAAACAGAUGCUAAUACCGCAUAACAAUUUGAAUCGCAUGAUUCAAAUUUAAAAGAUGGCUUCGGCUAUCACUUUGGGAUGGACCUGCGGCGCAUUAGCUUGUUGGUAGGGUAACGGCCUACCAAGGCUGUGAUGCGUAGCCGAGUUGAGAGACUGAUCGGCCACAAUGGAACUGAGACACGGUCCAUACUCCUACGGGAGGCAGCAGUAGGGAAUCUUCCACAAUGGGCGCAAGCCUGAUGGAGCAACACCGCGUGAGUGAAGAAGGGUUUCGGCUCGUAAAGCUCUGUUGUUAGAGAAGAACGUGCGUGAGAGCAACUGUUCACGCAGUGACGGUAUCUAACCAGAAAGUCACGGCUAACUACGUGCCAGCAGCCGCGGUAAUACGUAGGUGGCAAGCGUUAUCCGGAUUUAUUGGGCGUAAAGCGAGCGCAGGCGGUUUGAUAAGUCUGAUGUGAAAGCCUUUGGCUUAACCAAAGAAGUGCAUCGGAAACUGUCAGACUUGAGUGCAGAAGAGGACAGUGGAACUCCAUGUG
rnacentral:rRNA from 1 species